rnacentral:rRNA from 1 species
CGCCUAUUGAAAUAAUAGGUAACGCCUGCUCAAUGCAAUAGUCAAUAGCCGCGGUAUUCUGACCGUGCAAAGGUAGCAUAAUCAUUUGUCUCCUAAUUAGAGGCUGGAAUGAACGGCGAAACGAGAUAAAAGCUGUCUCUAAAAUAUAAAUCGAAAUUCAUCUUUAAGUGAAAAAGCUUAAAUAAACCUAAAGGACGAUCAGACCCUAUAGAGCUUAUUUGUUGGGGCGACAAAGAGAUAUAAAUAACACUCUUUUUUAAAAAAUAUAAAUAAAUAAAAUAAUGAUCCUUAAAUUAAGAUAAAAGACUAAGUUACCUUAGGGAUAACAGCGUAAUCUUUUUGGAGAGUUCAAAUCGAUAAAAAGGGUUGCGACCUCGAUGUUGGAUUAGAAAAUCAGUAAGGUGCAGCAGCUUUACUAGAGAGUCUGUUCGACUCUUAAUAUUCUACA